AUACGGAGGGUGCAAGCGUUACUCGGAAUCACUGGGCGUAAAGCGCGCGCAGGCGGCUAUUUAAGUUGGAUGUGAAAGCCUACGGCUCAACCGUAGAACUGCAUCCAAAACUAUUUAGCUAGAGUGUGAGGGAGGAAGAUGGAAUUAGUUGUGUAGGGGUAAAAUCCGUAGAGAUAACUAGGAAUACCAAAAGCGAAGGCAAUCUUCUGGAACACUACUGACGCUGAGGCGCGAAAGCGUGGGGAGCAAACAGAAUUAGAAACCCUAGUAGUCC
rnacentral:rRNA from 1 species